rnacentral:rRNA from 1 species
AUUGAACGCUGGCGGCAUGCCUUACACAUGCAAGUCGAACGGUAACGCGGGGGCAACCCUGGCGACGAGUGGCGAACGGGUGAGUAAUACAUCGGAACAUAUCCAGUAGCGGGGGAUAACCUAUCGAAAGAUGGACUAGUACCGCAUACGAUCUACGGAUGAAAGCAGGGGACCGCAAGGCCUUGCACUAUUGGAGUAGCCGAUGUCGGAUUAGCUAGUUGGUGGGGUAAAAGCCUACCAAGGCGACGAUCCGUAGCUGGUCUGAGAGGACGAUCAGCCACACUGGAACUGAGACACGGUCCAGACUCCUACGGGAGGCAGCAGUGGGGAAUUUUGGACAAUGGGCGCAAGCCUGAUCCAGCCAUGCCGCGUGAGUGAAGAAGGCCUUCGGGUUGUAAAGCUCUUUCGGUGAAGACGAAACGGUUAGCGCUAAUAACGCUGGCUAAUGACAGUACUCACAGAAGAAGCACCGGCUAACUACGUGCCAGCCGCCGCCGUAA